AUUUCACAUCUCACAACUUCAUUCACAAACACAAUUUCCUUGCCGUGACCUCCAUCCAUUCAUCUAGCCAUACUACAUCUCACCAAUCCAUACACUUUCAUCUCUUAGCCGUGCAAAUCCAUUCCAUCCAUAUAUCCAUACACAUCCUAGACACUUGUGCUACAACAAGGUGGUGAAAACAAAGGUCCUUGACGUUUCAAGCUUGGAACUUUGGAGCGUUUUAGGUGUACUUCGUUCUUGCUUUCAAUGUCUACUUUGUUAUUUUCUAAUUUUGUUGCAAUUAUGAGUGGCUAAACCCCUAUUUAAUUAGGGGGAAGUUUGAAGCCAUGAACAUGCUUGAGAUUUGAAUUGAUUUCUUCCAAUUGUGAUUUUAUAAGUUGUGAUUGCAAUUCAAUUAUCUAUUUUAUUCAUAACUGAUUCUUGUAUGUUUAUUAAGGAUGCAUACUUAGUUUUCAUGCAUGAAUUAAAUGCUAGAAUAUAAAUGAGUUUCACCUAAUCGUUACAAGUUUAUAUUCAUGAGUAGUGAAGGUUGUUUAUCACAAUCGCGUUAAUUGAAUUCUUGGCAAUUGUAUCAUGCAUUCAUAGUUAUAAUUGUCUCAACACUUAUGAUUUUCAUUGAACGUAAUGAUCUCUGAUUGUAUCUCUAUUAUGCAUUCAUAUAGGUGACUUUUAGAGAAUGAUUUGGGUUGUCGCAUGCAUUCAUCCAAUUCAAUGAGUAAAGGAAAAUCUGAGGGUUAAUUUGUGCAUCACGGUUAAUCUGGGGUGUUGAGCAUCAUAGUUUAUUAAAAAGCAAUUGGAAAUCGAUUCAUGUACAAGUGUGUCAUGUGUGAAGAACGAACCUCUAACUAAUCCAUUCAUCAUCGUACUCCUCAAAUUUGUCUUACAAUCUGCCCAGUUUGUGUUUUUAGACAGAUUUGAGCGUUUUUAGCUUGUUUUGAGCCUUUGAGUUUGUUUUAAGUUCUUUGAGUCU
rnacentral:lncRNA from 1 species